GCAACACUUUCUUCUUCUACCAACCGUUCCUCUUGCAUUCUCUCUCUACCUCUCUCUACUCACCCUCUCUCUUUCUUUCUCUCUACCCGCUCUCUUAGCUUUGUCUCUCUACCCACCAUCCUUCUCCUUUUCCCUUGUUGGGAGGCCGAGCAGCCCUUGAAGAGGGUCGAGAAUGUGAAGAGCCCACACCAACUGCUGGUACGCGAUUGCACCUAUCUAGCACCUGCACCAACUGUUGCUCCCCCAUUGCACCCAUCUAGCACCCGCACCAACUGUUGCUCUGCCAUUUCUACUGCGUAUGCACCGUUGGUAGUAGUGAUGGAGGUGGAAGAGAGAGGAUAUAUAGGAGAAUGGGGUAUCCAUUAUUGGGGCGGGAAGGGGCAGUUGAAAUGCUAAAAUUGUUGCCGUUUUGGGCGGGGUUUGUC
rnacentral:lncRNA from 1 species